rnacentral:lncRNA from 1 species
UCUCAGGGUUUUUUGAUUGCACAGGGUCAGUAGCAGAACCCCUGAAAACCAAAUCUAUCCACUAGGGAAAGGGUGACCCCAGUCUCACAAAGAACUCAUUCCCUGGAGUUUAGCCUGGAUUCAUUCCAGUGGCCAAAAGAGGCCACACAAGUCACAACCUGCCUGUGACCCUGUGGCUUCUAGACUAGGUCUGUCCUGGCUGAAUUUUAAACAAAAAGCCAGCAGGCCAAUUGUUCAGACCUGGUUAGCCCUUUCUUAAGUUUACUCUGGGGUUCGGGUUUGUGUUCUAACGAAAAUCAAAAUGUUUUCCUUACUGUAGAUCCAGGAAGGCUCUCUGAAAGGCUCCCUCCUUGGGGCUCAACUCCUCCAGCCUGGGAGAGGACUAGCCCAAAGCCGACAAGAAGGGGGUGGGGCUGAAGACAGUGUGAGGGAAAGGGAAUGGAAGUCUCCUUGGCUGUGUAUCUAGGUAACAAGUGACUGUCUAGGACCUCAGAGUGACUGAAGUGUGAUCCUGUGUCUCCAAUCAAAAUGGCAAAAACACAGGCCCUAAAAGGGGACACAACUUGCCUAAAAGGGGUUCUUUCUAUCUAUAUAGUAAAUGAUAAAGGGGAGCUAAAAGAAAGGGAGAGAGAAGGACAGGGGAGGAAGGAAGAGAAAUGGUGAGAAGAGGUGCGAUUGGAAACUAGCUCUCUAUGGAUCCAGUUCUAUUCAGUCAACUAAAGCAGCCCUGACCUUGGGCCAUUUUUUUUCGCCAUUACUCUUGAGGCUUCUAUGUAAUGAAGGAAUUGAAACGGACCUAGAUCAUCGCUGAAGACUUUUCCUGAA